rnacentral:rRNA from 1 species
UACGGAGGGGGCUAGCGUUGUUCGGAAUUACUGGGCGUAAAGCGCACGUAGGCGGCUUUGUAAGUUAGAGGUGAAAGCCUGGAGCUCAACUCCAGAAUUGCCUUUAAUACUGCAUCGCUUGAAUCCAGGAGAGGUGAGUGGAAUUCCGCGUGUAGAGGUGAAAUUCGUAGCUAUUCGGCAGAACACCAGUGGCGAAGGCGGCUCACUGGACUGGUAUUGACGCUGAGGUGCGAAAGCGUGGGGAGCAAACAGG